CCCUUAGAUGUCCUGGGCUGCACGCGCGCUACACUGACGAAGGCAACGAGCUUUCCUUUACCGAAAGGUACGGGUAAUCUUUUGAAACUUCGUCGUGCUGGGGAUAGAUCCUUGCAAUUUUUGAUCUUAAACGAGGAAUGCCUAGUAAGCGCAAGUCAUCAACUUGCGUUGAUUACGUCCCUGCCCUUUGUACACACCGCCCGUCGCUACUACCGAUUGAAUGGUUUAGUGAGGCCUUCGGAUCCGCGACUCGUUUUGUGGAGAAGUUGGACAAACUCAGUCAUUUAGAGGAAGUAAAAGUCGUAACA
rnacentral:rRNA from 1 species